CGUGAAGUUGGAAUCGCUAGUAAUCGCGGAUCAGCAUGCCGCGGUGAAUACGUUCCCGGGCCUUGUACACACCGCCCGUCACACCAUGAGAGUCGGGAACACCCGAAGUCCGUAGCCUAACCGCAAGGGGGGCGCGGCCGAAGGUGGGUUCGAUAAUUGGGUGAAGUCGUAACAAGGUAAC
rnacentral:rRNA from 1 species